AUACGGAGGAUGCGAGCGUUAUCCGGAUUUAUUGGGUUUAAAGGGUGCGUAGGCGGUUUUUUAAGUCAGCGGUGAAACGCAAGGGCUCAACCCUUGACCUGCCGUUGAAACUGGAGGACUUAAAUGCGGAUGCUGGUGGAGGAAUGUGGGGUGUAGCGGUGAAAUGCAUAGAUAUCACACAGAACACCGAUUGCGAAGGCAUCUCACAAAUCCGUGAUUGACGCUGAGGCACGAAAGUGUGGGGAUCAAACAGGAUUAGAUACCCUGGUAGUCCACACUGUAAACGAUGAUGACUCGCUGUCGGCGAUAUACAGUCGGUGGCCAAGCGAAAGCGAUAAGUCAUCCACCUGGGGAGUACGACCGCAAGGUUGAAACUUAAAGGAAUUGACGGGG
rnacentral:rRNA from 1 species